rnacentral:rRNA from 1 species
CCCUUAGAUGUUCUGGGCUGCACGCGCGCUACACUGACGCACGCAACAGGUGCCUGCUCCGAGAGGACUGGGUAAUCAUUUGAGUGUGCGUCGUGAUGGGGAUAGAAUAUUGUAAUUAUUACUCUUCAACGAGGAAUUCCUAGUAAGCGCCAGUCAGCAGCUUGCGCCGAUUACGUCCCUGCCCUUUGUACACACCGCCCGUCGCUCCUACCGAUGGGUGAUCCGGUGAAUGAUUCGGACUUCAGCGGCUCCCCUGGGGUGCGCCGGAGAAAGUUUUGUGAACCUUAUCACUUGGAGGAAGGAGAAGUCGUAACA